GACGAACCGUGCGAACGUUGUUCGGAAUCACUGGGCUUAAAGGGCGCGUAGGCGGGGAGGUAAGUCAGGGGUGAAAGCCCACGGCCCAACCGUGGAAGUGCCUUUGAUACUGCCUGUCUCGAGGGAGGUAGGGGCGUGCGGAACUUCCGGUGGAGCGGUGAAAUGCGUAGAUAUCUGGAGGAACACCGGUGGCGAAGGCGGCGUUCUGGACUGUUUCUGACACUGAAAAACGAAAGCCAGGGGAGCAAACGGG
rnacentral:rRNA from 1 species